rnacentral:sRNA from 1 species
CCACAACUCGUCUAGUCAACACUUAACAACCAAGAGUUUUGAAUAUUAAAUUUCCAAUACGCUACUACUAGAUUGUAACUAUUCUGCGCCCUGUAGUGCCCUUUGUGUCGUUCCACGCUCUACCUUAGGUAUUCAUCUACAGCGCCGCAGCCCGGAGGACGAAGGGGAUGUAUAGAGGAUAUCCAGGAGUCAGUCAGGAUAGAGGAGGACAUGUGAUUCGUGAAUUUGUGAAUGGCUAUUUCCCCU